UGAGGAAUAUUGGUCAAUGGGCGUAAGCCUGAACCAGCCAAGUCGCGUGAAGGAUGAAGGUUCUAUGGAUCGUAAACUUCUUUUAUAGGGGAAUAAAGUGCGCCACGUGUGGUGUUUUGUAUGUACCCUAGGAAUAAGCAUCGGCUAACUCCGUGCCAGCAGCCGCGGUAAUACGGAGGAUGCGAGCGUUGUCCGGAUUUACUGGGUGUAAAGGGCGUGUAGCCGGGUUCGUAAGUCAGAUGUGAAAUCUGGAGGCUCAACCUCCAAACUGCAUUUGAAACUGCGGAUCUUGAGUGUCGGAGAGGUAAUCGGAGUUCCUAGUGUAGCGGUGAAAUGCGUAGAUAUUAGGAGGAACACCAGUGGCGAAGGCGGAUUACUGGACGAUAACUGACGGUGAGGCGCGAAAGCGUGGGGAGCAAACA
rnacentral:rRNA from 1 species